rnacentral:rRNA from 1 species
UCCUUUGGUUUAUAUAUAAGGUCAGACCUGCCCUAUGAUUUAUUAAAUGGCCGCGGUAUCCUGACCGUGCAAAGGUAGCAUAAUAGAUUGUCCUUUAAUUGGGGACUGGAAUGAAUGGUCAUACGAGAAAUUAGCUUUCUUUAUUUUAUUAUAAUGAAAUUUAUUUCUUUGUGAAAAAGCAAAGAUAUAUUUAUUAGACGAUAAGACCCUAUAAAACUUUAUUAAUUUGUAAAAUUAAGUUUUUUAGGUUUUAGGUUAGAGCUUAUUUUUAUAAAUUAAUUUUGUUGGGGAGACGGGUAAAUAUGUUUAACUUUAUUUUUCUUAGUUCAUUAGUUUAUGUGUUUUUUGAUCCAAUUUUAAUGAUUAAAAGAGUAAGUUACUUUA